UACGAAGGGUGCAAGCGUUACUCGGAAUUACUGGGCGUAAAGCGUGCGUAGGUGGUUUGUUAAGUCUGUUGUGAAAGCCCCGGGCUCAACCUGGGAAUGGCAAUGGAUACUGGCAAGCUAGAGUGCGGUAGAGGGUAGUGGAAUUCCCGGUGUAGCGGUGAAAUGCGUAGAGAUCGGGAGGAACACCAGUGGCGAAGGCGGCUACCUGGACCAGCACUGACUGAGGCACGAAAGCGUGGGGAGCAAACAGG
rnacentral:rRNA from 1 species